rnacentral:rRNA from 1 species
UGGGGAAUUUUGGACAAUGGGCGAAAGCCUGAUCCAGCAAUGCCGCGUGUGUGAAGAAGGCCUUCGGGUUGUAAAGCACUUUUGUCCGGAAAGAAAUCCUUGGCUCUAAUACAGUCGGGGGAUGACGGUACCGGAAGAAUAAGCACCGGCUAACUACGUGCCAGCAGCCGCGGUAAUACGUAGGGUGCAAGCGUUAAUCGGAAUUACUGGGCGUAAAGCGUGCGCAGGCGGUUUGCUAAGACCGAUGUGAAAUCCCCGGGCUCAACCUGGGAACUGCAUUGGUGACUGGCAGGCUAGAGUAUGGCAGAGGGGGUAGAAUUCCACGUGUAGCAGUGAAAUGCGUAGAGAUGUGGAGGAAUACCGAUGGCGAAGGCAGCCCCCUGGGCCAAUACUGACGCUCAUGCACGAAAGCGUGGGGAGCAAACAGGAUUAGAUACCCUGGUAGUCCACGNACCUAAACGAUGUCAACUAGUUGUUGGGGCAUUCAUUUCCUUAGUAACGUAGCUAACGCGUGAAGUUGACCGCCUGGGGAGUACGGUCGCAAGAUUAAAACUCAAAUGAAUUGACGGGGUCAUAGCUGUUUCCU